rnacentral:rRNA from 1 species
AUUGAACGCUGGCGGCAUGCCUUACACAUGCAAGUCGAACGGCAGCACGGGGCAACCUGGUGGCGAGUGGCGAACGGGUGAGUAAUGCAUCGGAACGUACCUUUCAGUGGGGGAUAACGUAGCAAAAGUUACGCUAAUACCGCAUAUUCUGUGAGCAGGAAAGCAGGGGAUCGCAAGACCUUGCGCUGAUUGAGCGGCCGAUGUCAGAUUAGCUAGUUGGUGAGGUAAAGGCUCACCAAGGCGACGAUCUGUAGCGGGUCUGAGAGGAUGAUCCGCCACAUUGGAACUGAGACACGGUCCAGACUCCUACGGGAGGCAGCAGUGGGGAAUUUUGGACAAUGGGGGCAACCCUGAUCCAGCCAUGCCGCGUGAGUGAAGAAGGCCUUCGGGUUGUAAAGCUCUUUCGGCCGGGAAGAAAUCGCACGGGCUAAUACCCUGUGCGGAUGACGGUACCGGAAUAAGAAGCACCGGCUAACUACGUGCCAGCCGCCGCCGUAACAC